rnacentral:rRNA from 1 species
UACGGAGGAUGCAAGCGUUAUCCGGAAUGAUUGGGCGUAAAGCGUCCGCAGGUGGCUGUGUAAGUCUGCUGUUAAAGAGUCUAGCUCAACUAGAUAAAAGCAGUGGAAACUACACGGCUAGAGUACGUUCGGGGCAGAGGGAAUUCCUGGUGUAGCGGUGAAAUGCGCAGAUAUCAGGAGGAACACCAGCAGCGAAGGCGGCGCUCUGGGCUGGAACUGACGCUGAGGAGCGAAAGCGUGGGUAGCAAACAGG